CCUAUCUAACAGAUCGAGUCUGAGAUAAAGGGUUGCCUGGACUUCCUACGUACAGUGUAUGAUGUGUUUGGCUUCACCUUCAAAUUGAACCUUUCCACCAGGCCAGAGAAGUUCCUAGGAGAACCUGAAGUGUGGGACCAGGCUGAGAAGCAACUGGAGAACAGCCUGAAUGACUUUGGAGAGAAAUGGGUUCUGAAUCCUGGUGAUGGAGCUUUCUAUGGACCAAAGAUUGAUAUUCAGAUAAAGGAUGCCAUUGGCAGGUAUCACCAAUGUGCCACCAUUCAGCUGGACUUCCAGUUG